GCAUAGCGGGAUUUCUUAUAAGCGUCCGGGUUAGAGUCCCAUCAAGCUCACCCCACGAGAAGCAGUGCAUGAUCAACGCCAUCCUCAGCAAGGAGAUCUGCUAGAAGUGAUGUUCUCUCUCACUCUGGGGGUACAGGCAGAGAUGACUGGGGCCUUCAGCAAGUAAGACACAGGGGGUACUGACAGGAGGACAGGAGGAGCAAUAGGAGUCUGUCAGAGGUUUCUGGAUGGGGAUGGUGAUGGAGGCUUUGGUGGUCCACACCACAAAGAAGUAGGUGUCCCUUCCAGUAAUGUGGAGCUGACCUUGGACCUGGUGCCAGUAAGGAUGGUCUUUACGGAGGCGGUAAGACCCUACCUCCUUGAUAUAGAAAUCCUUCAACUUCACUGCCUCUUCAAUGGUAAGGUCCCUUGCACCAUAGGGACACUUGACUUCCACCACUGCUGUGGCACCACUGCUGUGGUGCCCACCAGACCAUCUGGUGAGGCACCCAGGAUCCCAGACUCUGUGACCCAAAGCCCUGACUCCUACAGAUCCAUCCCUGUAGCCAUUUUGAAUGACUUGAGGCCCUCCUCUUCGUUAUCUGUGCCCCACUUUACAGACAACACCCCAUCCAAUGACUGUGAUCUGAGGACCCUUUUUAGCAGCGAUGGAGUAAUGCGCUUGGCCCUAACCACUGCUCCAUAAUUGCUGGCCCUAACCACUGCUCCAUAAUUGCUGGCCGUCAACCUCCCUUCUCCUCAUGGUGUGCCAGUUGGGGUUGGUGCGCCCUUGUUUUUUAACAAUGUCCGGUACAAACAGGGAUGGCAGGAAGGGUAGCGAAUGUUCUGGCUCAGGUUCAAUGAGACAUGACAUUCCACUGAACCUGCCCCGGAUACGGUUCCUUAGCCAUUGAAGAUCCUCCUCUGUUGGAUCUCGGGACAGAGGGUUGUAGUCUUUGGCCGGGUACAGGUCCUCCACUAACUGCACCUGGUUGGGCACGGCUGGCUUCCUCCAGUGGCCUUCCACAUCCGUACGGCCGAUAUUGUGAACUGCCAAAAUAGGCUGCAUGGCUACACUUAUGAGCUCCACGGAGGCAUUUGCAUGUGGUAGAGAGAAUCUCCUGGUCACAUAUAGACACCUGCCAAGAGGAAUGAUGUUAA